AGCGAACGCUGGCGGCAGGCCUAACACAUGCAAGUCGAACGAAGUCUUCGGACUUAGUGUCGGACGGGUGAGUAACACGUGGGAACGUGCCCUUAGGUUCGGAAUAACUCAGGGAAACUUGUGCUAAUACCGAAUGUGCCCUUCGGGGGAAAGAUUUAUCGCCUUUAGAGCGGCCCGCGUCUGAUUAGCUAGUUGGUGAGGUAAAGGCUCACCAAGGCUACGAUCAGUAGCUGGUCUGAGAGGAUGACCAGCCACAUUGGGACUGAGACACGGCCCAAACUCCUACGGGAGGCAGCAGUGGGGAAUCUUGCGCAAUGGGCGAAAGCCUGACGCAGCCAUGCCGCGUGGAUGAUGAAGGUCUUAGGAUUGUAAAAUCCUUUCACCGGUGAAGAUAAUGACUGUAGCCGGAGAAGAAGCCCCGGCUAACUUCGUGCCAGCAGCCGCGGUAACAC
rnacentral:rRNA from 1 species